ensembl:rRNA 5S_rRNA 5S ribosomal RNA
AUAUGCAGCCAUAUCACCCUGCAACUCACAACUGGCAACCCACUUAAGCUAAGCAGGUAUGAGCCUGGUCAGUACCUGGAUGGGAGACCUCCUGGGAAAAACUAAGGUAGCUGCUGGAA